UACGGAGGGUGCAAGCGUUAUCCGGAUUCACUGGGGUUAAAGGGUGCGUAGGUGGAUUGGUAAGUCAGUGGUGAAAUCUCUGGGCUUAACUCAGAAACUGCCAUUGAUACUAUCAGUCUUGAAUACCGUGGAGGUCAGCGGAAUAUGUCAUGUAGCGGUGAAAUGCUUAGAUAUGACAUAGAACACCAAUUGCGAAGGCAGCUGGCUACACGAAUAUUGACACUGAGGCACGAAAGCGUGGGGAUCAAACAGG
rnacentral:rRNA from 1 species